GUUGUUUUAUUUUUGUUUUCUUUUCUUUUUCAUUAAAAACAUGGUUUCACACAGCACUAGUUCAAUUAUUUUUUUAAUUUUUUAUUAUGUCACAUAUACUUCAAAGAAAGUUAAAUGUUUUCAGCACAGAGACUCCACUCUGUAUGUAUUGCAUUAGCUGUAUUAGAAAAUUAAGAAACAGCUUUGGGCUAGAGAAUAUGAUAACUUGAAAUAUAUAACCGUCUGUGUGCCAAACAGCUAACACAUGUGUGGGAGCAGGAUGCAUUUACUGUGUACAGUGCUAACCAGAGCAUGGUGACUCGGACACAGAAAAUGGAUGGACGCUGAGGUACUGGGGGGGUCUGAGCUGUAGAUAUUUUCCACCAUGCUUUUCAUCUGUGAUGUGCAUCCAGCAACCCCCGUGUGUAUGCUUCCUGAGGUAAGUGUGCACGUUACCAUGUGUUACCAUGUCACAUGUUCAUACACUGAGGCACCAGUUUCUCAAGUGCCUUGCAUUAGAUCACACAGCAAAUGGAGAGAGUGUGGCUUAAAGCCAGACCAUAUUCUUUCCUGUGCUGUUUAAUGGUGUCACUCACCAGUGACCUUGAGAAGCCUGCAGAUGUUAGUAGGUUAGAAGAUGGCCAUAAAGCCCAGUGUUACCUAGCAGAUGCAGUCGAGAUUCUUACACUCAGAAGAGGAGUUAACAUCAAAGGAACAGGAGCCGAUCCUGCUGUAGCCAACACUCGCAUCUGGUGGCUCUCCCUAGGUUCACUCAAGGUGCUGUCUUUCUUGUGUGUGGGAAACUUGGUAGCUUCUGGCAGUCACUGUCACUGCUGGGAGCAGAGCUGGUCAGCCCACGUGUCCCUUGCUCUUUUCUCUGUAGGGUGGCAGAGCCUGUGACUUUUUUGUGGGUGUUACUCCUUGUCCUCGCUGUUGCCUGCUCCUCAGCUGUCAUUGAAUUUGUGCAAUAGACAGCACUUCUUUCUAGGGCUUAAGAAUUCCAAGGCUGUGUGGCUCACUAAAAACCUUUGUUCUACAGGCUGAAUCUUAGCCGUGCUAAAGCGACAUCUUUGAGUUUAGAGGUUCCUGUCAACUCAGGUCAGCUUCAGAGCCUAUUUCUUAGCAGGUCUCGUCUAACUCUCAGGAAAAUUAAGCCCGUGUCAUAUGGCUGUCAUUAAAGGUAGUUGAGAAUAUGUUGUUGAAUAUCAACUGAAAGGAGAAGUUUGCCCCUGCAAGCAAAGGAGUGUGCCCACUUUCUUUCCUCACACCGCAAAGUCAGGUUUCACUGCUUGCGUUUUUGUCGGCUCUUGGGAAGAGCAGCGUUCAAACCACUCUGUCAAUGGGAAGCAGAUGUUCUGCACCUCUGGACAGCUGCUUUCAGUUCAUGUUCUCAUCAAUACCAGUGGCAGUUUUGGUCAUAGAGCUCUUGUCUCCCCGUCUCUGCAUGUAAUCAUGGGAUGUGCUUGUAUACACUAAAGUAAUAUACAGAGUAUGUGUAAUUUUGAUGAUUUAGAAGAUAAGUCAGUUACCAAGUAACAGUUGGCGAUUUUAUUCCAGCAAGUACUGAAUCGACCCCCAAAAGUCCUGAUUUUGAUACUAUUAAAAUUCUAUUCUCUCCCUGUGUCCAUGCUGAGUCUCUUGAGUCCUGAUCACACAAACUUUAACCCAAUUAGGUUGGAUAAAGAGACUAUUUGGAGCUAAAUCUUAGUAUUCCUUUAACAUUGGCCUUUCUGAAGCCUUUUACUCCUAACUUUUUCAGCAGUGAUUGCCCUUUUUGGUACACUUUUCUCAUAAUCCAAUAUAACUAUUAUAGGACAUAAUUACAAAAUAAUACUGACUUUCUAAGUCUUGAGAAUCUUAGCCUUUAUACCAGAAAGUUAGCUUUUGUGCUUACUUCAAAGAUCUCAGACCCAAAAACUCUCAUCAGUCUCUGCCUCCAUGCUGUGGCCUCCCUGACCUGUAAAGCAAAUGGGGCACGGGGCUAUGCACCUGUAAUCCCAGCACAUGGGAAGCCGAGGUGGAAGGGUUGCCCUAGGCUUAAGGCUGCUUUAAGCAGUAGACUUGGAACUCAACUGGUAGAGUAAUUUGCCAAACAUGCAUGAAAUGUAUUGGAUUUAAUACCCACCAGCACAUGAACCUGGAAUACACCUGUAGUCCCAGCCCUUGGGAGGUUACAUAGUGAGUAUGUGGUAGGUAGUGUGCUAUACAUACAUGAGUAGACAGCUAGGAAAGAAAUCAUGGGACACGUGUGGCUCAGUGGUUAAAGACAGCCAAGCCCAGUGGCCUGAGUUCAAUUCCCAGAACCCCACAUGGUAGAAGGAGAGCUCUGACUCCUGUAGACUACCCUCGGUCCCCUACACACUGCCAUAGUAUGCACCCGCCCUCACACAUAGAAAGCACCCUUAGAAUGAGUGCAGUGUCAGCAACUGCGACACUAUCCUUCCAGCAGUGGCCCCUGAACCCCUCCAAGUGGAGUCAGACUAAACCGGUUUUAUUAGCAGACCUGUCAAACAAAGAUGAGUAGUUGACCAUCCUCGUCGGUUACGGUUUCCUUGGAUUCUAAUGAACAAGGCAUCUAAGACUUUGAGAAAGUGACCGAAAGUCUUUAAAAUGUUUUUGAAUCUUACACUAGUUACGGAAACAGGCCAAGAUCUAUGAGGAAUCAGUGGCCAAGGCAGAGCUGAACAGAUAAUGUACCAAUAGUGUCUAGAAAAAAAAGAAACUACCAAACCGAGUGUGGACCGCUGUGGUCUGUUUAUUCUCCUUUCGCACCCCUACCCCGCUGCUACCCAGGCCCCAGGCUUCUGCCAAGAGCUGGUUGCUCAGGCUGAAUCUGAACCAUGACGCUCAAGUCACUCCUUACCCCUAUGGUGCUGGCGCCUGCUAAAUGGACACGGCCCUGAGGGAAACUUAGCCCUGCAGUGGUAAUGACCUGAGAUACGCUCUUUCUCGGUCUUCAGUGAAUAUUUCCAAAGAACCCUCAAAUUGUGUAGAUUCUGUAUUUUUUUAGAUUUAUUUUAUAUUUACAAAUAUUACCUGCAUUGCAUAUCCAAAAUCACAUGUAUGUCCGGUGCCAACAGAUCAGAAGAGGGGGCUGGUUUCCCUGGAACUGGAGUUACAGGUGGUGUGAACCACCAUGUAAGAGCCCCCAGUGCUUUGCCAUCUCUCCAACCCUGAAACUGUAUCGCGUUUAUAGAGUCCUCUGGUCCAACCCUGUUUUAGUUUCACAUAGCAGUAAAGGUCAUGGAAACAGGGGCUCCAGGCUUAACAGGGAACUGACUUCACAGUGACUGGGGACAUAGUGGGGUCUCCAAGGGAAGACUGAUCAAGUUUGAAAGCCAGAGCAGUAGUUUUACCAAGCAUGGUCUGCAGAUAUUAAUAGGUCAUGCCAGAAAAUAAGUGAGACAUGGCAAAUUUAGACGUUCCUUCAAGCCAAGCAUAAUGGUACAUGCCUUUCACCCCAGCACUAGGAAGGCAGAGACAGGUACAAUUAAUGUGAGUUCAAAGCCAAUCUAGUCUACAUAGAGUUUCCGGCCAAGUCUGCACACUGAGACUUUGUCUCAAAAAAAAAAAAAAGAAAAAGAAAAAGCUUUGCAGGGGGAUGUAGGGAAUUGGCUGUAUUCGGUGCCUUUUCACCAUCAGCCAGUGCUGUUGGGAGGGGUGCAAACUUAGCUAAGAAGGCAAGCUUCUAUUAGGGAGUCCUGAGCACCCUUCACUCCUGCCGCUUCCCCCCUCAUCUGGUCCCUUCCUCUUACAAGGCUGUGCUUCCACCCUGCUCAAGUCACUGCCUCCUGGCCUGUCUUGUACCACACAGCCUGUUUCAAAAAUUAACAGGAAAUUCCUAAGGGUAGAAAGUGGCUUUGGGGUGGGGGAUACAUAUCCAUGCACCCCUCUUAGGGUGACCAGUGGCAGGCUGAACUACCCAUAACUUGUGUCUAGAGUUAUCUCUCUCACUCCUUCAGGCUUCAUAAAGAGUCUGAGCAGAUCUAAACUGACGUCCUUGCAUGUCUGAGACUCAUGAUAGCAAGAGACAGGAGACACAAAAACCCAGGAAAACAGUUUACCUUUCUGAUGACACAUGUGAAUGUGGUUAGGAAGGAAAUGAAUGUGACACGAUUGGUGUUUGUCUCUCAGUCCUCAUCUCGUGUGUGAUAGCAGCAAGGUCGUUCCUGAAAUUUCCAGUGUAAGUUAAUUCAUGCAACUUAAGUAUGGUGGGGUUUUUAGAGACCAGGAGAAGCACUUUUGCUGAAUGUCUGUAUGCUCCCCCAAAAUAGCCUCUUGCUAGAUUGGAUAGCAUGAACUCUCCCUCCGCCUUUGUUUGAACAGGGUGGUUCCAUGCUUAGGAUUGUCUCUUACCUUCUGUAUUUCCAUUUAUAUGUGACAGAGUGCAGCUUCCUCCCCACCCUGAUCCCAGGGCAUGUUGGGAAAUAUCCCAUAGGAUGAUGAUUACAACUGGCCAGAAUUCUGUUGGAGUAAAAU
rnacentral:lncRNA from 1 species